GACGAACGCUGGCGGCGUGCUUAACACAUGCCAGUCGAACGGAAAGGCCCCCAUCUUGGUGGGGGUGCUCGAGUGGCGAACGGGUGAGUAACACGUGGGUGAUCUUCCCUGUACUUCGGGAUAAGCUUGGGAAACUGGGUCUAAUACCGGAUAGGACCAUGGUUUAGUGUCUCAUGGUGGAAAGAUUAUUGUUUUGGUGCAGGAUGAGCUCGCGGCCUCUCAGCUUGUUGGUGGGGUAAUGGCCUACCAAGGCGUCGACUGGUGGCCGGCCUGAGAGGGUGGACGGCCACAUUGGGACAGAGAUACGGCACAGACUCGUACGGGAGGCAGCAGUGAAGAAUAUUGCACAAUGGGCGCAAGCCGGAUGCAGCGACGCCGAGUGGGGAAGGACGGCCUUCGGGUGGUAGACUCCUUUCGUUAGGGACGAAGCCGCACUUUUUUUGGGUGUGGUGACGGUACCUUUGUGAAGAAGCACCGGCUAACUACGUG
rnacentral:rRNA from 1 species